rnacentral:rRNA from 1 species
UACGGAGGGUGCAAGCGUUAUCCGGAUUCACUGGGUUUAAAGGGUGCGUAGGUGGGCAGGUAAGUCAGCGGUGAAAUCCCCGAGCUUAACUCAGAAACUGCCAUGGAUACUAUUUGUCUUGAAUAUUGUGGAGGUAAGCGGAAUAUGUCAUGUAGCGGUGAAAUGCUUAGAUAUGACAUAGAACACCAAUUGCGAAGGCAGCUUGCUACACAGUUAUUGACGCUGAGGCACGAAAGCGUGGGGAUCAAACAGG